CUCCAAUGUGCUAUCUUGCUUCUGUAAUUCCACAAUAUUUUCAGCAAACACAUCAACACUGGCAAGUCCCUCCCCAAAAGAAGGUCCACAGGCAGAUUAUCUACCACCCCAACAGUCAGAAAAUAAGGCUGCUCAUCGAUUAACACAGUUAUUUCAGUCUGAGGUGGACAAACUGAAGCUUUGUGUCCAGGCUGCUGACAAUAAUAGCAAAUCAGUGUCUUACCGGUUGCUGGUUGUUCAGUCCCUGUGCUGGUG